rnacentral:rRNA from 1 species
GCAGUCGAGCGCACCUUCGGGUGAGCGGCGGACGGGUGAGUAACGCGUGGGAAUGUGCCCUUUGGUACGGAACAACUGAGGGAAACUUCAGCUAAUACCGUAUGUGCCCUUCGGGGGAAAGAUUUAUCGCCAUUGGAGCAGCCCGCGUUGGAUUAGGUAGUUGGUGAGGUAAAGGCUCACCAAGCCUACGAUCCAUAGCUGGUCUGAGAGGAUGAUCAGCCACACUGGGACUGAGACACGGCCCAGACUCCUACGGGAGGCAGCAGUAGGGAAUCUUGCGCAAUGGGCGAAAGCCUGACGCAGCCAUGCCGCGUGAAUGAUGAAGGUCUUAGGAUUGUAAAAUUCUUUCACCGGGGAAGAUAAUGACGGUACCGCAAGAAUAAGCCCCGGCUAACUUCGU